rnacentral:tRNA from 1 species
AGGGACGUAGUCCAGCCAUCGGCGGGACACUUGCAUAGGGAGCAAGGGGUCGUCCCGAAUGCAUUCGGGAUCGUCGCUAGUUUGACUCGCCGUCCCGA